GGUCAUAUAGCUCAAUGGCAGAGCACGAGGUCUGUGUAUUCAGGUUCACGACUAUCACCUUUCGCGUUCCAGGUUCGACUCCUGGCUUGACCU